rnacentral:rRNA from 1 species
GGGCGUAAAGCGCAUGCAGGUGGUUUGUUAAGUCAGAUGUGAAAGCCCGGGGCUCAACCUCGGAAUAGCAUUUGAAACUGGCAGACUAGAGUACUGUAGAGGGGGGUAGAAUUUCAGGUGUAGCGGUGAAAUGCGUAGAGAUCUGAAGGAAUACCGGUGGCGAAGGCGGCCCCCUGGACAGAUACUGACACUCAGAUGCGAAAGCGUGGGGAGCAAACAGGAUUAGAUACCCUGGUAGUCCACGCCGUAAACGAUGUCUACUUGGABGGUUGUGGCCUUGAGCCGUGGCUUUCGGAGCUAACGCGUUAAGUAGACCGCCUGGGGAGUACGGUCGCAAGAUUAAAACUCAAAUGAAUUGACGGGGGCCCGCACAAGCGGUGGAGCAUGUGGUUUAAUUCGAUGCAACGCGAAGAACCUUACCUACUCUUGACAUCCAGAGAACUUUCCAGAGAUGGAUUGGUGCCUUCGGGAACUCUGAGACAGGUGCUGCAUGGCUGUCGUCAGCUCGUGUUGUGAAAUGUUGGGUUAAGUCCCGCAACGAGCGCAACCCUUAUCCUUGUUUGCCAGCGAGUAAUGUCGGGAACUCCAGGAGACUGCCGGUGAUAACCGGAGAAGUGGGACGACGUCAAGUCAUCAUGGCCCUUACGAGUAGGC